rnacentral:rRNA from 1 species
AGGGGUUCGAUCAUGGCUCAGAUUGAACGCUGGCGGAAUGCUUACAUGCAAGUCCGAACGGCAGCACGGACUUCGGUCUGGUGGCGAGUGGCAGACGGGUGAGUAAUGUAUCGGAACGUGCCUAGUAGCGGGGAUAACUACGCGAAAGCGUAGCUAAUGCCGCAUACGCCCUUCGGGAAAGCGGGGGACCUUCGGGCCUCGCACUAUUAGAGCGGCCGAUAUCGGAUUGGCUAGUUGGUGAAGUAACGGCUCACCAAGGCGACGAUCCGUAGCUGGUUUGAGAGGACGACCAGCCACACUGGGACUGAGACACGGCCCGAACUCCUGCAGGAGGCAGCAGUGAGAAUUUUGGACAAUGGGGAAACCUGAUCAGCCAUCCCGCGUGUGCGAUAGAGGCCUUCGGGUUGUAAAGCACUUUUGGCAGGAAAGAAGCAGCUUGCGGGAUAAUACCCCGUGCAACUGACAGUACCUGCAGAAUAAGCACCGGCUAACUACGUGCCAGCAGCCGCGGUAAUACGUAGGGUGCAAGCGUUAAUCGGAAUUACUGGGCGUAAAGCGUGCGCAGGCGGUUCGGAAGAAAGAUGUGAAAUCCCAGAGCUUAACUUUGGAACUGCAUUUUUAACUACCGAGCUAGAGUGUGUCAGAGGAGGUGGAAUUCCGCGUGUAGUAGUGAAAUGCGUAGAUAUGCGGAGGGGAACACCGAUGGCGAAGGCAGCCUCUGGGAUAACACUGACGCUCAUGCACGAAAGCGUAGAGCAAACGGGAUUAGGUAUUACCCUGGUAGUCCACGCCUAAACGAUGUCAACUAGCUGUUGGGGCCUGAGCCUUGGUAGCGCAGCAGCAGCGUGAAGUUGACCGCCUGGGGAUACGGUCGCAAGAUUAAAACUCAAAGGAAUUGACGGGGACCGCACAAGCGGUGGAUGAUGUGGAUUAAUUCGAUGCAACGCGAAAAACCUUACCUACCCUUGACAUGUCUGGAAUCCCGAAGAGAUUUAGGAGUGCUCGCAAGAGAACCGGAACACAGGUGCUGCAUGGCUGUCGUCAGCUCGUGUCGUGAGAUGUUGGAGUUAAGUCCGCAACGAGCGCAACCCUUGUCAUUAGUUGCUACGAAAGGGCACUCUAAUGAGACUGCCGGUGACAAACCGGAGGAAGGUGAGGAUGACGUCAAGUCCUCAUGGCCCCUUAUGGGUAGGGCUUCACACGUCAUACAAUGGUCGGGACAGAGGUCGCCAACCCGCGAGGGGAGCCAAUCCCAGAAACCCGAUCGUACAGUCCGGAUCGCAGUCUGCAACUCGACUGCGUGAAGUCGGAAUCGCUAGUAAUCGCGGAUCAGCAUGUCGCGGUGAAUACGUUCCCGGGUCUUGUACACACCGCCCGUCACACCAUGGGAGUGGGUUUUACCAGAAGUAGUUAGCCUAACCGUAAGGAGGGCGAUUACCACGGUAGGAUUCAUGACUGGGGUGAAGUCGUAACUGAGGUAG